GAAACGCCCGGUUACAUUCCGAACCCGGAAGCUAAGCCUCAAAGCGCCGAUGGUACUGCAGGGGGGACCCUGUGGGAGAGUAGGACGCCGCCGAAC
rfam:Saccharothrix sp. ST-888 contig-23, whole genome shotgun sequence.